UAAAAGUCCAUGAGUUUUCACUAUUUUGGCUGGUUAGACAAAAGUAGAUGCUCCCCCUUAACGCCUCAUUUUCCGCACAUUUCCAAUGCGUCGUUGCCAAUAAGGCUUUCUGUCUCCUUUCCUUGCACCACACAACCAUCGAACGCCCACACAUAUCCAACCAGCUUAUACCCAUGAAUUCCAAUGAUAAGUCUUCUCCCUCACUCCCAUACACCAAGUCUUAGAUAGAGAGGGAAGGCGCCAUGCGCAGUGUCACUGACUGCUCAGUCAAACUCGGACGCAGCAAACGGCAGCAUGGUAAAAGAAUAACAAUCUUUAAAAUCGAAACUAACGAAUUCUUGAACUGAAAGGUUAUUUUCAAAGUUUUUAAAGAAACUCUGGACGUGUUUGAGUGCUUGGUAGUUUGGCCGGUCGGUGUGUAAAGUGGGUUUCAGUGAAGUUUUUGUAUUUCUGUGGAGUACCGUUCGUCUUAUUAUUGGGAAACUCACGAUCUGCAACGACCGGCUUCAGAUGAUCGAAACUGGCCAUGCGUAAUCUGAAGAGUUCCGUUUGCUGCAGUACUCCUCGGGGAUGACACGGG